GAUGAACGCUAGCUACAGGCUUAACACAUGCAAGUCGAGGGGAAACGACAUCGAAAGCUUGCUUUUGAUGGGCGUCGACCGGCGCACGGGUGAGUAACGCGUAUCCAACCUGCCCACCACUUGGGAAUAACCUUGCGAAAGUAAGACUAAUACCCAAUGAUAUCCCACGAAGGCAUCCGAAUGGGAUUAAAGAUUUAUCGGUGAUGGAUGGCGAUGCGUCUGAUUAGCUUGUUGGCGGGGUAACGGCCCACCAAGGCGACGAUCAGUAGGGGUUCUGAGAGGAAGGUCCCCCACAUUGGAACUGAGACACGGUCCAAACUCCUACGGGAGGCAGCAGUGAGGAAUAUUGGUCAAUGGGCGAGAGCCUGAACCAGCCAAGUAGCGUGCAGGAUGACGGCCCUAUGGGUUGUAAACUGCUUUUAUAAGGGAAUAAAGUGAGUCUCGUGAGACUUUUUGCAUGUACCUUAUGAAUAAGGACCGGCUAAUUCCGUGCCAGCCGCCGCGGUAA
rnacentral:rRNA from 1 species